AUUGAACGCUGGCGGCAGGCUUAACACAUGCAAGUCGAGCGGUAACAGAGAGAAGCUUGCUUCUCUGCUGACGAGCGGCGGACGGGUGAGUAAUGCCUAGGAAUCUGCCUAGUAGUGGGGGAUAACUUGCCGAAAGGUAAGCUAAUACCGCAUACGUCCUACGGGAGAAAGGAGGGGACCUUCGGGCCUUUCGCUAUUAGAUGAGCCUAGGUCGGAUUAGUUAGUUGGUGAGGUAAUGGCUCACCAAGACCGCGAUCCGUAACUGGUCUGAGAGGAUGAUCAGUCACACUGGAACUGAGACACGGUCCAGACUCCUACGGGAGGCAGCAGUGGGGAAUAUUGGACAAUGGGGGGAACCCUGAUCCAGCCAUGCCGCGUGUGUGAGGAAGGUCUUAGGAUUGUAAAGCGCUUUAAGUUGGGAGGAAGAGCAGUUAACUAAUAUUUGACUGUUUUGACGUUACCGACAGAAUAAGCACCGGCUAACUUCGUGCCAGCCGCCGCUGUAA
rnacentral:rRNA from 1 species